GUCAAAGCGUUCAUUAAAGUCGAGUUGGCUUAGGGAUACGUUCGUUGGGUAGGGGAGCGUUCUGUAAGCCUGUGAAGGUGUGUCGUGAGGCAUGCUGGAGGUAUCAGAAGUGCGAAUGCUGACAUAAGUAACGAUAAAGCGGGUGAAAAGCCCGCUCGCCGGAAGACCAAGGGUUCCUGUCCAACGUUAAUCGGGGCAGGGUGAGUCGACCCCUAAGGCGAGGCCGAAAGGCGUAGUCGAUGGGAAACGGGUUAAUAUUCCCGUACUUGGUGUUACUGCGAAGGGGGGACGGAGAAGGCUAUGUUGGCCGGGCGACGGUUGUCCCGGUUUAAGCGUGUAGGUGUGUGUUCCAGGUAAAUCCGGUUCACUUUAACACUGAGGCGUGACGACGAGG
rnacentral:rRNA from 1 species